CCUACGGGAGGCAGCAGUAAGGAAUAUUGGUCAAUGGAGGCAACUCUGAACCAGCCAUGCCGCGUGCAGGAUGACGGCCCUAUGGGUUGUAAACUGCUUUUAUACAAGAGAAAACCCUGGUACGUGUACCAGGUUGAUAGUAUUGUAAGAAUAAGCAUCGGCUAACUUCGUGCCAGCAGCCGCGGUAAGACGAAGGAUGCAAGCGUUAUCCGGAUUCAUUGGGUUUAAAGGGUGCGUAGGCGGACUGAUAAGUCAGUGGUGAAAUCUCUUUGCUUAACAAAGAAACUGCCAUUGAUACUGUCGGUCUAGAGUAUAGAUGACGUUGGCGGAAUAUGACAUGUAGUGGUGAAAUACUUAGAUAUGUCAUAGAACACCGAUUGCGAAGGCAGCUAACGAAACUAUAACUGACGCUGAGGCACGAAAGUGCGGGGAUCAAACAGGAUUAGAUACCCUGGUAGUCCGCACCGUAAACGAUGAUUACUCGUUGUUGGCGAUAUGACAGUCAGCGACCAAGCGAAAGCGANAAGUAAUCCACCUGGGGAGUACGCCGGCACGGUGAACGUCAAAUGAAUUGACGGCGNGAGAGNGCGAGGACGACACGAGGGAGAGG
rnacentral:rRNA from 1 species